rnacentral:rRNA from 1 species
UACGUAGGGGGCAAGCGUUGUCCGGAAUCAUUGGGCGUAAAGCGUGUGUAGGCGGACGGGUAAGUACCUUGUGAAAUCCCACGGCUCAACCGUGGAACUGCUUGGUAUACUGCUUGUCUUGUGCAACCUAGGGGCGAGCGGAACAGAUGGUGGAGCGGUGAAAUGCGUAGAUAUCAUCUGGAACGCCAAUGGUGAAAACAGCUCGCUGGGGGUUUGCAGACGCUGAGACACGAAAGCCAGGGGAGCGAACGGG